UUGGGCACUGCACUGGUCAUCCACUCCUACCAUCUCUUCCUAUAGAUAUGUGUGUUUAGUUUCUAUAGAUUGGAUUUAAAUGUCAACUUCUUAGUCAGAUGGCUAUGACCACACACUUAAACCUGCAGCUUUCCCUUGAUGUCUAAUACUUCUUCCUGCUGUGACUUUUGUCUAGCCCUUGUUGUAGCCAGCUCACCACAGGCUACUUGCUUCUAUUUUCCUGUGCCCCAUUGCUAGAAGGAAGAAGAUGGAGAAGCACAAGUUUCAAGAUCUUGUGGUUGAUUUGCAGCAAGCCUAAAGUGACACUGACAUUUUUCAAGUUGUCCCAUGUCCUCAAAAACUCCAGAACUGACUUUCAAAACACUGUCACCCACAGUGCCCACCCUGGUUUCUGGGAGUAGCUUUACUCAUAGUUGAACACAAGGCUCUCUCAUGUGAACUGAUUUAAACUCUGACCUAUGGCUGAUAUGGGUAGACAGGAAAAUCAUGUGUCACAGUGAUACAAACAAAGCCCGCUAUGCUCUGCAUUCCUUUACUCUGAAAUGACAAUGGCUCUGUGUGAACUGAGAAAGACUUGGUGUCUGUCGACAUCUUUAGGAAAACAAUCGCCUAUCUGGAGUGACCAUUCUCACCUGUCUUCUUGCUAUUUCCAAUAAUAAUUGUCGCCACUGCAGAGACUACUGUUGUGAAUUGCUUCAGAUCUAUGUUUCCACGAUAAUGCUGUGAUCCUGCACCCAGGAAAGCACAGCUGGCAUUUGCUUCUAUUUCUCCUAGCUCCCAGGCCUGGAAACCACAACAUCCUCAGGGAAAUUUUGCCACUAUGCAGAGGAAUUCACCCCCUGUAAUGCUGGAUGCUGCUGAACUGUAUCUCCGCUUUAAAAGCAUCAGUACAUGUCUGGAAGGCCUGAAGGGAUCCUCAGGCUUGGGAAAUCGUUCAUGUAAUGGACUGGUUUCCAGCUACCUUCCUGCCACCACCUUGAAGAAACUUGUAAAUCUGUCUCCUCUGGAUGCCUGUGUGUUCAAAAUGGCAGCUUUGCACAAAAUCUCACAAGCUAAAUUCUUGAAUAAAAUGAGAAGUAUGGAACUAUG
ensembl:lincRNA 4933433F19Rik RIKEN cDNA 4933433F19 gene